rnacentral:rRNA from 1 species
CUUGAACGCUGGCGGCAGGCCUAACACAUGCAAGUCGAACGAGUGGCGGACGGGUGAGUAAUGUCUGGGAAACUGCCUGAUGGCGGGGGAUAACUACUGGAAACGGUAGAUAAUACCGCAUCCCAUAAGAUGUGCCCAGAUGGGAUUGGCUUGUUGGUGGGGUAAAGGCCUACCAAGGCGACGAUCCGUGACUGGUCUGAGAGGAUGAUCAGUCACACUGGAACGGGGACACGGUCCAGACUCCUACGGGAGGAAGAGGUGGGGAAUAGUGGACAAUGGGCUAAAGCCUGAUCCAGCCAUGCCGCGUGUGUGAAGAAGGUCUUCGGAUUGUAAAGCACUUUAAGUUGGGAGGCGUUACCAACAGAAUAAGCACCGGCUAACUUCGUGCCAGCCGCCGCGGUAAUUC